GAUGAACGCUGGCGGCGUGCCUAACACAUGCAAGUCGAGCGAAGCACUUUGCUUAGAUUCUUCGGAUGAAGAGGAUUGUGACUGAGCGGCGGACGGGUGAGUAACGCGUGGGUAACCUGCCUCAUACAGGGGGAUAACAGUUAGACAUGACUGCUAAUACCGCAUAAGACCACAGCACCGCAUGGUGCGGGGGUAAAAACUCCGGUGGUAUGAGAUGGACCCGCGUCUGAUUAGCUAGUUGGUAAGGUAACGGCUUACCAAGGCGACGAUCAGUAGCCGACCUGAGAGGGUGACCGGCCACAUUGGGACUGAGACACGGCCCAAACUCCUACGGGAGGCAGCAGUGGGGAAUAUUGCACAAUGGGGGAAACCCUGAUGCAGCGACGCCGCGUGAGCGAAGAAGUAUUUCGGUAUGUAAAGCUCUAUCAGCAGGGAAGAAAAUGACGGUACCUGACUAAGAAGCACCGGCUAAAUACGUGCCAGCAGCCGCGGUAAUAUGUAUGGUGCAAGCGUUAUCCGGAUUUACUGGGUGUAAAGGGAGCGUAGACGGAUGGGCAAGUCUGAUGUGAAAACCCGGGGCUCAACCCCGGGACUGCAUUGGAAACUGUUCAUCUAGAGUGCUGGAGAGGUAAGUGGAAUUCCUAGUGUAGCGGUGAAAUGCGUAGAUAUUAGGAGGAACACCAGUGGCGAAGGCGGCUUACUGGACAGUAACUGACGUUGAGGCUCGAAAGCGUGGGGAGCAAACAGG
rnacentral:rRNA from 1 species